UACGGGAGGCAGCAGUGGGGAAUAUUGCACAAUGGGCGAAAGCCUGAUGCAGCUAUGCCGCGUGUAUGAAGAAGGCCUUAGGGUUGUAAAGUACUUUCAUCGGGGAGGAAAAAACAAAACUAAUAAUUUUAUUUCUUGACGUUACCCGAAAAAGAAGCACCGGCUAACUCCGUGCCAGCAGCCGCGGUAAUACGGAGGGUGCUAGCGUUAAUCAGAAUUACUGGGCGUAAAGAGCACGUAGGUGGUUUUUUUAAGUCAGAUGUGAAAUCCCUGGGCUUAACCUGGAACUGCAUUUUGAAACUGAAAUACUAGAGUAUCGUAGAGGGAGGUAGAAUUCUAGGUGUAGCGGUGAAAUGCGUAGAUAUCUGGAGGAAUACCUGUGGCGAAAGCGGCCUCCUAAACGAAUACUGACACUGAGUGCGAAAGCGUGGGGAGCGAAACAGGGAUUAGAUACC
rnacentral:rRNA from 1 species